GUUUCUGCCCAGGCACAAUCAGCCAAAGAGCCUGAGUGUGGAUUCAAUUAUUCCAGGUCCCCCUGGAGCGCGGGAGGAAGUGCAAGCAUUCCCCAACCCCCUGCGGGAGAAAGAGUCCUCGCCAGUCGGCCACCUACACCCCAUCUUCACCCAUUCCCAAUAUCUUGCCAAGAGAGAAGCACCUGCUCCCUGUUACUGAACGUACUGCGAGGGCCUGCUGCCUCCCUGGGGCCAUUUCCAGACCAGUAAGCAUUGCCAAGCCCCUGGGGGGGAAUUCUGAACUUUGCAGGCAGCGGCGCAGAGAGGUAGCCGAGCCGGGGACACUGCUGCUUUUAGGGAAGAACAGCCCUUCCGCCACCCACCCCAAGAUGAGUUAGGCUCUGAGCUCCAGCUCCCAGGAACCACACAGCCUGUCAUUUUCCCGGCACCUCCAAGCCACCCCUUUCCGAAGUUCAUUGCCCGCCGGAGACCGAAAAAGUACCCCGCGAGUUCUGUUUCAGUCGAAGAGCAGGACAGUUGCCAACUGAGAAGAGUCCAACCAACAGGCAGAAUCUCCUCCUGCUUCUUGCUCUGUGUGACCAACUCACAGCUCCCUGGGAGAGGACCUUCAGGGGCCAUCGGAAUCCAGCCAGUGUGAACUGCUCUGAAAGCAAAGCAUUUGCCAAACUGGACCUUUCUUUGUCAAUGAAGUCUUCCCAGUGUGGCGUUCUGGAGUGCAUGGACUGGAUCCUCCUCGAAGCCGCAGUGUGCGGCACCAAGCAGGCCUCUGUAAGCUCACUGGGAGAGGAACGGAAGAAGCUCUUGGUCACCUCCCAACUCAAGCCAGCUCUACUCUGUCUGUAGCUCCCAGCCCAACUCCCGUACCCAGCCGGUGCUCAGCUGACUAUUAAUUCCCCAAAUAAACCUGCCCCCCGAGUCAACACAUACCAUGUGGCGUACCAAACACACCUCCUGUGUUUCCAGUCACCCAGCCCUGUUCUUUCUGUGGGGUCUCUUCCCUAGCUGAUAUUCUGAGGCUCUGCAUGAGCCUCCUGUCCUGGGAUGCCUUCUCCAACUAGCCUAAGCUCAACACAGCAGCGCCCCAGCCAAAAACCUCCGAGGUCUUCCCUCAGUCCCCACCGGACUGACUCUCAGGGUUCACGGACACACCCCUACCCCCAGCCCUUACCCUGAUGGCAACCCCUGACGCAGUGCCCAAACAGACAGUAGUCCGCAUCCUACAAACACACAUAGACAAGUACACGCGACCUCUCGGCGGUGCUAGGGUGGACACACUUGCAGGUGUGCACAGGCCCGUGCUCACACACGCCCCCGCUGCUUCCCAGGUUGGUUGAUAAAGCUGAGAGGCUCUAGACAAGUCCCCUUCUGCCGUCAGAAAGCCCUGAGCUGAUGGUCAGGAUGCCUGGGUGGCUCACCUGGGAAAAGUCACCCUGUUGAGCCUCAUACUCCCCGUUUGUGAAAUCAGGAGUUGGAGCACAUGAUCUCUCAGGCCUCCAUCAGCUCCUAAAUCUGCACAUGCUGAAAGCGGUCAAUCAUAGCACAGGAACUAAAUUCCCCAGAGUGACCAUGGUGAAGCAAAAGGGGAGAAAGGGGCUCGGAGCACCCUGAUGGGUGCCUCCGUGCUCCAGGGUCCUGUGCAUUCGUCCUGGUGGCCAGGUCAGUCUCCCUUGGAGAACUGCAGAAGCUGAGGAUAGAGUCUGUGGGGAUCGUCGGUCCUCUGCUCGGGCCUUUGCCACAUUUUGCUCUAUUAUCAGUUCCCACAGGGGUGGUGAGCCUGUGGUCAACUGUCCCACCGCAUUUGAGACAGAUUUCCUGGGAGCGAGCCCUGAAAUUGCCUCCCAGUGUUGGAGCAGGGGGAAAAAACCCGAUUCCAGAGAAGGACUAUUUUUGCCAGAAAUUAAAGCCAGCUGUGGUUCCUGAAGCCUGCGGGCCCCCACCCUGUCAUCCCUAGGGUGGCCGGUGCCCUCCUCCUUGGGAGCUGAGAGACCCGGUCCCCUAGCCUUUCAUCUCACUACUGCCUGCUCAGUUCCAAUCAGCAGCACUUCCACUUGGGUUCUCCACCAUGGACUUGCUCCUGAAAAUUUCUGGAAGCUUCAAAUGGUGCAAACAGAUUGUUUUCAUUAUGAUUAUUCCGGGUUUAACCUCCUGGCCCUGCGUCACCAAGAUUGCAGGGCUCUUUCUUAGAACUGUGAGAGGCCUCACCCCCUCAAUCAGUCUUUAUUUUUCUUCUCUUCCGUUCUGGAUUCUCUUCUGAGAGGCCACCAGUUCUCCAUAUGCCCUCCGCGCCACCUCCAGGUGUUGUCCAAUGACGACUCGGGGUCUCUGGGGCAGCAGAGAGGCAUCGUGACCCUGUUCUCCGGCCCACCCUGCCCUGUCACCAGAUUCUGGCCUCUCCACAUCUGCUUCCUAGUGUGAAACCAGCAUCUCUGAACCUACCUCCCAGAGGGCUUAGGAUCUCCAACAUUUGGUCUGAGUGUUUUUAAUAUGAAGAUUUUCUUAUUCUUCAAAAUUGUAAUAAAAACAACACACCCACACAAAUGUGUUACAUACAAAUUUUAGUACAUUGAAAACUACCAACAC
ensembl:lincRNA